CCUACGGGAGGCUGCAGUGAGGAAUAUUGGUCAAUGGCCGAGAGGCUGAACCAGCCAAGUCGCGUGAGGGAAGACGGCCCUACGGGUUGUAAACCUCUUUUGUCGGGGAGCAAAGCGAACCACGUGUGGUUCAUUGAGAGUACCCGAAGAAAAAGCAUCGGCUAACUCCGUGCCAGCAGCCGCGGUAAUACGGAGGAUGCGAGCGUUAUCCGGAUUUAUUGGGUUUAAAGGGUGCGCAGGCGGAGGUGCAAGUCAGCGGUCAAAUUGCGGGGCUCAACCCCGUACUGCCGUUGAAACUGCAUCCCUUGAGUGCGCGAGAAGUAUGCGGAAUGCGUGGUGUAGCGGUGAAAUGCAUAGAUAUACGGAAGAACACCAGUGGCGAAAGCGGCUCUCUGGUCUGUAACUGACGCUGAGGUUCGAAAGCGUGGGUAGCAAACAGGAUUAGAUACCCCAGUAGUC
rnacentral:rRNA from 1 species